GAUGAAGAACGUAGUGAAAUGCGAUAAGUAAUGUGAAUUGCAGAAUUCAGUGAAUCAUCGAAUCUUUGAACGCACAUUGCGCCUCUUGGUAUUCCGAGGGGCAUGCCUGUUCGAGCGUCAUUAUAACCCCUCAAGCUCAGCUUGGUGUUGGGGCCUGCUGCACUGGCAGCCCUUAAAAUCAGUGGCGGCGCCAUCUGGCUCUAAGCGUAGUAAUUCUUCUCGCUAUGGAGUCCUGGUGGAUGCUUGCCAUCAACCCCCAAUUUUUCUAUGGUUGACCUCGGAUCAGGUAGGGAUACCCGCUGAACUUAAGCAUAUCAAUAACGGAGGA
rnacentral:misc_RNA from 1 species